rnacentral:rRNA from 1 species
UACGGAGGAGGCAAGCGUUAUCCGGAUUUACUGGGCGUAAAGGGCGCGUAGGCGGCUUAACAAGUCACUUGUGAAAUCUCCGGGCUUAACUCGGAACGGCCAAGUGAAACUGUCAAGCUAGAGUGCAGAAGGGGCAAUCGGAAUUCUUGGUGUAGCGGUGAAAUGCGUAGAUAUCAAGAGGAACACCUGCGGCGAAGGCGGGUAGCUGGGCCGACACUGACGCUGAUGCGCGAAAGCCAGGGGAGCGAACGGG